rnacentral:rRNA from 1 species
CAACGGAUAAAAGCUACCCUGGGGAUAACAGGCUUAUCUCCCCCAAGAGUCCACAUCGACGGGGAGGUUUGGCACCUCGAUGUCGGCUCAUCGCAUCCUGGGGCUGAAGUAGGUCCCAAGGGUUGGGCUGUUCGCCCAUUAAAGCGGUACGCGAGCUGGGUUCAGAACGUCGUGAGACAGUUCGGUCCCUAUCUGUCGCGGGCGUAGGAAAUUUGAGAGGAGCUGUCCUUAGUACGAGAGGACCGGGAUGGACGUACCGCUGGUGUACCAGUUGUCUCGCCAGAGGCAUAGCUGGGUAGCCAAGUGCGGAAGGGAUAAGCGCUGAAAGCAUCUAAGCGUGAAGCCCCCCUCAAGAUGAGAUUUCCCACAAUGGUAAGACCCCUUGAAGACGACGAGGUAGAUAGGUUGGAGGUGGAAGUGCAGCAAUGCAUGGAGCUGACCAAUACUAAUCGGUCGAGGGCUUAUCCUA